UACGGAGGGUGCAAGCGUUGUUCGGAAUUACUGGGCGUAAAGCGCGUGUAGGCGGUCGGGCAAGUCGGAUGUGAAAGCCUUUCGCUUAACGGAAGAAGUGCAUUCGAAACUACCCGGCUGGAGUACGGGAGAGGAGAGUGGAAUUCCCGGUGUAGAGGUGAAAUUCGUAGAUAUCGGGAGGAACACCAGUGGCGAAGGCGGCUCUCUGGUCCGAUACUGACGCUGAGACGCGAAAACGUGGGGAGCAAACAGG
rnacentral:rRNA from 1 species